AACGAACGCUGGCGGCAUGCCUAACACAUGCAAGUCGAACGAGACCUUCGGGUCUAGUGGCGCACGGGUGCGUAACGCGUGGGAACCUGCCCUUAGGUUCGGCAUAACUCCCCGAAAGGGGUGCCAAUACCGGAUAAUGUCUUCGGACCAAAGAUUUAUCGCAUUUGGAUGGGCCCGCGUUGGAUUAGCUAGUUGGUAGGGUAAAAGCCUACCAAGGCGACGAUCCAUAGCUGGUCUGAGAGGAUGAUCAGCCACACUGGGACUGAGACACGGCCCAGACUCCUACGGGAUGCAGCAGUGGGGAAUAUUGGACAGUGGGCUAAAGCCUGAUCCAGCAAUGCCGCGUGAGUGAUGAAGGCCUUAGGGUUGUAAAGCUCUUUUACCCGGGAUGAUAAUGACAGUACCGGGAGAAUAAGCUCCGGCUAACUCCGUG
rnacentral:rRNA from 1 species